CCAAGAGCAGUCUGGGGAGGUUUUUAGGGGCUCCCAGAUGUAGUAUGGGAGGUUUUCAGGGGCUGAGGCUCCUCAAUGCAGUUUGGGGAGGUUCUCAGGGGCUCCCUGAUGCAGUUUGGGGAGGUUUGUAGGGGUCUCCCUGCUGCAGUCUGGGGAGGUUUGUAGGGUCUGAGUCACCCUGGAGCAGUUUGGGGAGGUUCUCAGGGGCUCCCUGCUGCACUUUGGGGAGGUUCUCAGGGGCUCCCUGGAGCAGUCUGAGGGGGUUUGUAGGGUCUGAAUCUCCCCAGUACAAUCUGGGGAGGUUCUCAGGGGCUCCCUGGAGCAGUUUGAGGAGGUUUGUAGGGUCUGAGUCUCCCCAGAGCAGUGUGGGGAGGUUCUCAGGGGCUCCCCAGUACAAUCUGGGGAGGUUCUCAGGGUCUCCCUGGAGCAGUCUGGGGAGGUUUGUAGGGUCUGAGUCACCCUGGAGCAGUUUGGGGAGGUUCUCAGGGGGUCCCCACUGCACUUUGGGGAGGUUUGUAGGGUCUGAGUCUCCCCAGUACAAUUUGGGGAGGUUCUCGGGGUCUCCCCGCUGCACUCUGGGGAGGUUCUCAGGGGCUCCCCAGUACAAUCUGGGGAUGUUCUCAGGGUCUCCCCGCCGCAGUCUGGGGAUGCCCUCAGGGGCCGAGGCCCCCGCCCGUGUCCCAGGGUCGCAGUCUGGGGAUGUCCCCAGGGGCCGAGGCCCCCGCCCGUGUCCCAGGGUCGCAG
rnacentral:lncRNA from 1 species